rnacentral:rRNA from 1 species
UACGAAGGGUGCAAGCGUUACUCGGAAUUACUGGGCGUAAAGCGUGCGUAGGCGGUUUGUUAAGUCCGUUGUGAAAGCCCUGGGCUCAACCUGGGAAUUGCAGUGGAUACUGGCGAGCUAGAGUGCGGUAGAGGAUGGUGGAAUUCCCGGUGUAGCGGUGAAAUGCGUAGAGAUCGGGAGGAACACCCGUGGCGAAGGCGGCCAUCUGGACCAGCACUGACGCUGAGGCACGAAAGCGUGGGGAGCAACAGG